rnacentral:tRNA from 1 species
UGAAUAGUGGCAGAUAAAUGCAUUGAAUUUAGAAUUCAAAGAUAUAAUUUUUAAUGUAUG